AUUUUUUUAUAAAAUAAUUUUCUAAAAUUUUAAUUUGUAAAAUGAUCUUAUCAAAUUUAUAUUUGACAAACUAAUGCUCUUUUCGUCAUGCAAGUUUUUUUUCCGAAACACGGUUAAUUGUUCACUGUAUUCUGAAAGACUCCAAAAUUUUUUAAAGACAGCAAUCGUUCACAACAUUCAUUAAAACGGUUAACGAUUUACCGCCUUCUUCAUAAUUUUUUACUACAUGGUAAGGAUUAUAUAUGGGAAAGAGAAAAAAAGUGAGGUUGUUAAAUUAUACGUAAAUUAUACGGAAAAUAAAAAAAAGUAAGAUUGCUUGGAUUGUUAGAUUAUACGGAAAAUAAAAAAAAGUAAGAUUGCUUGGAUUGUAUAUGGAUUAUUAAAAUUUUUAUUUGAUUAUUAAGGUUGUAUGAAUAGAUUAUUAUGAUUUUUUUAUUGUUAGAAUUAUAUGGAUAUAUUAUUAGAAUUUUUAAGUUGUUAAGAUUAUAUGUGAUGUUUGUGAUGUUUGAUUAUUAGGAUUAUAUGAAUAAAUUAUUAGGAUUUUUUUGAUUGUUAGGAUUAUAUAGAUAGAUUACUAGAAUUUUCAGGUUGUUAAGACUAUAUGUGAUUUGUUGAAAUAUUUAUAUGGUUGUUAAGACUGUGUGAUUUGUUGAUGUUGGAGCCGAAAUUUCCCGACCCUUGACCCGGUCAAAGAUCUUCCUCGGGAAGCACGUCGGGAUGCGAGACGACUGCGAAUAGUGACCCUCGAAGUUUGCGCCCUUCGACAGAUCAAGCAAUUCUGCUGAUGAGGGAUCAGAUCAGCCGGGUUCGAAAACCUCUACAGUAUAAUCGGUUUGGCUGGGAUGAGCCGAAUCCUCGAAACAAGCCAGAAAGUGGGCAGAGAAAAGAGCCGAAUGGCCAGGACAACUCGAGAUCUGGUCGGCCUGAAAAGCCGAAAAUGACUUUCUAUUAAAUGAAACCAAGGAAAUUACAGGGAGAUAGAUUUUUAGUCUACAACGGAGUGAUGCCCGAGGGGCAGACAGACUCCAGGACGCUAAGUUACAGGAACUACUCCUAGGAAAACAGUAAAUGCGAGAAAGAAAGAUGCAGGAAAAUAAAAGUGGUCUUUUGUGCGCAGGGGCGAAGACCCUUUUUCAAAGUAUCAUUGACCUAUUUAUAGAAUCGCCCCUGAUUCGGUUAUUACAUGAUCGGCCAUUACCUCCUAAAAUCUCGAACCACCUUCAGCCGAUCGAACCGCUCGCAACUGCUUGCGGUUGCUGUAACUUCCUAUUGGCGCGACGGUUUUCUUCUUUACUUUUUCGGUGCUCCUGGUGCACGGUCAGAUUAAUGCCUUUGAAAGCGAUUCCCGUCUACCACCUAUCUGUGCCUAAUUGGCUCAACAAUUGCCCCCUCGGCAGCUUUCGAAGCAACGCUUCGAUAGCUGGCGUAAUCUGAGACGCGAUUACUGUUCGAAUUCUUGGUGUUGGUUUCAUCUCAGCCGUCCCUUUUUCGCUGCCGAAAUCCUGUAAUUGCUUCGAUAACAAGCACGAUCCGAGGCGUCAUCCUAGGUCCAAUCACAUUCAAAAAUCUCUGUACCAGUACCAGACGUAAUUCGAGGCGUGACCCUCUGUAUGGUUCAAUCUUAGCCGUUUAUUUUCUUUCUUACGGCCCGAUCUCAAUUUUCAUUUUGUCUCAUCUGCGGCAUUAACUAGGUUAUCUUAAUUACCGCCGUCUACUCAUCAUUAAAGCCGACCUCGAAACUCGCUUCGAUGCGACGGUUCGAUAUGACGGCCUUUCUUCUUUUCCGAGUUUUUAUCUUUUUGUCUCUUCUACUUCUUCUUCGUCUUCCAUGAGACUUUUCUUUCGCUUCCCUUUCCUUCAUCUUCUCUGAUUUUAUUUUCCACUUGACUUUUCCUCUUUUCCUUUUCGACUAAUGGCGUUGGUUCCGCCUCUUCCUUCUCAUCCAUCCCUGGAUUAUACUAUACUUAAACCCUUCGUCGACUUAGACCCCUUUAGGUUUAUUUUGGGUCCUUCACUUACAGAAAUGCCAGCCCCUAUCGACUCGCCCUUUUCUAGCGACGGUCUCCCCCUGAGAAAAGCUAUUCAUCUUCAGUCUUGGUACUCCUCUGCUUCAACAGGAAAGAGUCUUCAAACUUGGCCAAGUACUUCAGAGGCAUAUUUAACUUGGUUAGAUCGAGUAGAAGCCGCCUUUGGUGACUUUUGGCGAGAGGUUGGGAUAUAUGAAGCUAUUCAAUUGUCUCGGCAUCCUCCUAUUGCCGAUAAUCUUCUUCUAGCCGCCGCUCUGUGUUUUUGGUCCCCCCACUUCUAAUAUUUUUCUUUUCAAAAGAGGACCUCUUACCCCCACUCUUUUUGACGUGGCCGCCAUUACUGGCUUGCGCCCUCAUGGCGUUUCUGUUUCUAUGUCUUAUAAUCCUGACGGCGUAUCUGAUCUUGAGGACCGUUUAGACCUCAAUGACUUGACUUGGCUUACUCCAAGUUCAUCCGCAAAUUCGCAGGUGAAUCCCCUGCUCCCGUUACUAAGAAUGAACAUACGGCAUUUCUCCUUUAUUAGUUAUGCCAUAAUCUUUUCUGUACCCGUUCACAGAAAAUUAAUCGUGACUUUGUUCCAAUCGCCAUCAGUUUGUCUAACGGCGAUAGAUUAACUCUAGGGUCUUACUUUCUUGCCUUUGUCUAUAGAGAAAUUUUUGAUUCUAUCAAAAUAUUGCCUUCUGGAGAUGGUAUUGCCAUUAGUUCUGGCUGCGGUGUUUUCUGGUUUCUUCAAAUGUUUUUACAAUUUUAUAUUCCCGCUUUAUGCCAAUCUCCCUUUAAUCCGACUUCGGUUGCUCAAUUCGAUUCUUAUGGGUUAGCUCUCGGCUGUCCACAGCCGAUGACUCUGGGUCAACCCUCUGACUUUCUUACUUAUUUUAAAACUUUUUAUGAGCCGAGUCCUGAAUCGGCUAUUUCUUGGGCUCCCUUUGCUGACCGUCUUACCGGUCCUUCCUGGUUCCUUGCCCGGUUUGAAGCUAUCCGAGAUGAAUUGGCUUCUUCUCGUGCUAGUGAAUACCCAGAGGUCUGGUAUUCCCAUUUGGCUCCAAGAGAUCUUCAUGUGGGGUUGAAAUCACGCUCCAAACUAUUACCAAGCACUGAAGUUUAUUCUCCUCAGUAUGUGGCCCGUCAGUUUGGGUUUGUUCAGCCGAUUCCCGCUCCAUCUAAAUUUUUUACAACUAAUACAGCCGAUCGUCGACCCCCUACUAAAAGUAUAGCCGAAGCUGAUAAGAUUUCGGGUAUGGGAAAUCGUCUUCGUCGAUUCUUUAAAUUAGUGAGCUUCGGGCCGAACUACACAUGAGUUGCUCUUGCUGGUUAUGCUACUAUCUGGGAUCAUUUUACUGACCGUACUCUUGACCUUCUCUUCUUCGGGCAUUCCGAAGAACUAUUCAUCAAGUUGUUUCAGUCGAUCCUCCUGUCUCAUCACCAAGAGAAGAAAUAGAAGAAGCUUCUGAGGUCAGGCCUCUUUCUUCUGUAAUAUACUCACCUUUAUUUUAACUUUCUUUUCAAUAUUCCAAAUACUUAUUUUCUUUUUCUGCAGUCAACUCCAGUUUCUUCAUCGGUCUCAACUUCAGAAAAAAGACCGAUUGAGCCUGCUCAAUUUACUCCUACGCUGCCUUCAAAGCGGCGUAAGUCGGUUGCUAAAAGGUCCUAUUCUACACAUGCCGAAGGUAUUGCUUCGUUUGAUGUAUUAGAGAAAAAAGCUGAAGGAACG
rnacentral:lncRNA from 1 species